GCAACAUUCGGACCGUCGGUCUACUGAGCAAUAUCACCCGCUCGGUGGAAGAUCAUCCCUUUGUCGU
rnacentral:pre_miRNA from 1 species